GGGGCUUUGGAGGAAGAGGAGGAGGAGGAAGAGGAAGGUUACGCAUCCGAGGAGCCAACCAGGCGCAAAGGAAAAGGCUGGAUCCCAUGGGAAAGGGCCGGGCCGGAGGAGACGUCGGAUUCGCAACCAGCCCCAUCCUGGUCGUCCUCGUCAUCUCCAUCGCCGGCAUGGUUCCUGCAGGCCAGAUGUCACCGGCGGCGUCCAGCUCCGGACCGGAUUGAAUCGGAACCCAGGCCCAUGGAUUGGCCGCUUGGAGACGCGCCAAAGUAGCUGAGCUCCGGCUCGCCCCCGAAAAGGUCCUCGUUUUGCUCUCUUCCCAGCAAGAAAAGGGACAGCAAGGUUGGGUUCUUCGUCCCUCGGCGAAACGGGUCCGAUCGGAAGCGAAACCCAUUGUUGCUCACUCGGAGCAGAAGCAACCGAUCCGUCAGUCUCCUUCGUUGUAUAGAUACCUGCAUCCAUCUAGACUUGGGUCAGGGGUCAGUCCACUUUUGGGCAUUCCAGUGACUCAAUUUAUGGGAUUUUGUUUUGACAAGGACAGCAAGGUUGGCUUUUUUGUCCUUCAGCAAAACAGGUCCGAUCAGAAGCGAAACCCUCUGUUGCUCAGUCGGAGCAGAAGCAACCGAUCCGUUGGUCUCCUUCGUCAUCCUUGAACGAAUUACCCACAUCCAUCUCGACUUGAAUCAGGGGUCAGUCCACUUUUGGGCAUUCCAGUGACCCCAUUUCUGGGAUUUUGUUUUGACAAGGACAGCAAGGUUGGCGUCUUCAUCCCCGGCGAAACAGGUCUGAUCAGAAGCGAAACCCUUCCGUAGGACCUUCUGAUCGACCCAUCGUUGCUCACUUGGACUAGAAGCAACCGAUCCGUUGGUCUCCUUCGUCAUCCGUGAACAAAUUGCCCAAUUUUUGGACUUUGCCGGCAUCCAUCUAGACUUGGGUCAGAGGUCAGCCUACUUUGGGGCAUUCCAGUGACUCCGUUUCUGGGAUUUUGUUUUGAGAGGGACAGCAAGGUUGGCUUCUUCAUUCCUCGGCGAGACAGGUCCGAUCAGAAGAGUGACCCUUCUGAUUUACCCAUUGUUGCUCACCCAAAGCAGAAGCAACCAAUCCAUUGGUCUUCUUCGACAUCUAGAUACCUGCAUCCAUCUAGACUUGGGUCAGGGGUCCACUUUUGGGCAUUCCAGUGACCCCAUUUCUGGGAUUUUGUUGUGACAAGGACAGCAAGGUUGGCUUCUUCAUCCCUCGGCGAAACAGGUCCGAUCAGAAGCGAAACCCUUCCACAGGACCUUCUGAUCGACCCAUCAUUGCUCACUUGGACCAGAAGCAACCGAUCCGUUGGUCUCCUUUGUCAUCCUUGAACGAAUUACCCAAUUUUUGGACUUUACCGGCAUCCAUCUAGACUUGUCCCGAUAGGCCACCGAUGGUCUAGAUGUGAGCCACCCAUUUUGCCCUCAAAGUCCCCCCUUUUUUUGGCAUCAGACCCCUUUUAUUUUGGCAACGACAGCAACAGAUGUGAAACCUUUCCAGGAUACGUUGGACUCGACUGGUCACUCACCUGGGCUCGAAGCACAGGAGACGUUGGACUCGACUGGUCACUCACCUGG